UCCCUGAUGGUUCAGAUGGUAAAGCGUCUGCCUGCAAUGCAGAAGACCAGGGUUCGAUCCCUGGGUUGGGAA
rnacentral:tRNA from 1 species